AAAACCAGAGGCAGCAGUUGUUGGGCCACAACCUGCAGUUCUAAAGUGCAGGCAGUCCGACAAUGAGAAGACCAUCACAACUGCACCAGCCGCUAUCAAGAGACCAGCUUUCACUAGCUGUCAAAACCACCACGCAGACAACGAUCAGCCAGAUGGUCACACGGGCCUGCAACCAGAGGAUGGAAAGUCAUAUUGGAAGGACAUGAAGGAACAUAUGGAAGACCACUGUAGUUGCUCUGGCGGGACUGGGAAAAAUCCACAGAACUGGAGGAAAAGACAUGAAAAGACAAUAGAGAAACUCUGUUAAGGUCUCGUUUCACCAUACCGUCUUUCUCUAUUAUUUUUCUUCGAUCAUAAAGGGGAGAGUGGGAUUCUUCAUGGUUUCCUGCACCUGUAGUAUCUCUUUACGUCCCCUCCCUCUCGUGCCCUGAAGUGAGCGUAAAUGUGAAUACCAAUGCAUGAGUACAUACACACGCGUAGUGAAUUAUGGAUCCUCACGGCUCUAAGACUCUGAGGCUCAGGUGUGUUUGAAUGGCAUCAGUCCAGAUCAGAUGCAUCCUCAGGCGUUUGGACAAGAGACAGGCACCUCACCUGAGGAGUCCGUAUCCUUUGUUUAAUGUUUAAUAUAGUUUGUUUUGGGCUAAAAUGCCCCUCUGUUUGACUGGAAAUCAACACUAUUAUAUAUAAACUCUUUAUUUAUUAUAAUAAUAAUUUUAGCUUCCAAUCCACACCAGCGAAUAACAUUCUGUUUAUUAAAGCUCUGCAUGUUGUUCACCACUUUAAAUGUUUGAGCUGGUUUCUAAUUGGCUGUUAAUGUCUUUUUAGUCUGAAAUUGAUUCCAAUAUUGUCGUUCAUUUGUGUCAAUAUCAUUAUAGUUGUAAAUUUGCUAUUUUCAUAGAAUUACACUAAACAAGUUUUACAUAAAACAAAGAUUAUUAUGUUUUACAAGAAAAUACUAUUUCGGCUUUUCCACUUAAAACUUCACAUUUAAUUGAAUGUGUACUUGCCAUUUCUUUGAGAUUUUUUGUGAAAUUUACAAGCAAUUUCUGAGUGAAAAUUGUUUCAACCAAUAUUUUUCCAAUGAGUGGCAAAACUUAGUUACAGUUAUCAGGCCUGUGUGUACGAGCCAUAAGGCAGAGUGGGUUUCAUAUGUUUUUUUCAACCCGAAAUGUUUGAUUUAGGGCUAGUUGUGACAUUUGUGACCUUGAUAUAUUUGUAUUGUUUUGUUGUAUAUGUUUGGUUAUCUUUUCCAAUUUUUCUGUCUCAUGAAAUGCGAUAAA